GACGAACGCUGGCGGCGCGCUUAACACAUGCAAGUCGAACGGAAAGGCCUGCUUUCCCUUGUGGAUUGCGGGUACUCGAGUGGCGAACGGGUGAGUAACACGUGAGUGAUCUGCCCCCAACUUGGGUAUAAGCCUGGGAAACUGGGUCUAAUUCCCGAUAGGACUGCAGGGUGGUGCCUGUGGUGGAAAACGAUUUUCUAGUGGUUGGGGAUGAGCUCGCGGCCUAUCAGCUUGUUGGUGGGGUAAUGGCCUACCAAGGCGGCGACGGGUAGCCGGCCUGAGAGGGUGGACGGCCACAUUGGGACUGAGAUACGGCCCAGACUCCUACGGGAGGCAGCAGUGGGGAAUAUUGCACAAUGGGCGGAAGCCUGAUGCAGCGACGCCGCGUGGGGGAUGACGGCCUUCGAGUUGUAAACUCCUUUCGACCGCGAGGAAGCCACCUGGUUGGAAGGGUGGUGACGGUAGUGGUAGAAGAAGCACCGGCUAACUACGUG
rnacentral:rRNA from 1 species